UACGAAGGUGGCAAGCGUUGUUCGGAUUUACUGGGCGUACAGGGAGCGUAGGCGGUUGGGUAAGCCCUCCGUGAAAUCUCCGGGCCUAACCCGGAAAGUGCGGAGGGGACUGCUCGGCUAGAGGAUGGGAGAGGAGCGCGGAAUUCCCGGUGUAGCGGUGAAAUGCGUAGAGAUCGGGAGGAAGGCCGGUGGCGAAGGCGGCGCUCUGGAACAUUUCUGACGCUGAGGCUCGAAAGCGUGGGGGAGCAAACAGG
rnacentral:rRNA from 1 species